CUUCCUGAUCCUGGAGCAGAUCUCUGGACUGUGUUGAGCAGAAGUCACGUGAGCACACUUCGAGGAAAGCAAAAGUGAAAGUAACUUUCGGGAGUCAGAUUUCAGUAAAACACCGGUAACCGAGCAGUUCCUUCAGAUGUGAUCCGGAUCACCUUCGAGUGAAAACAUGUGUCGUCGGGACGUUAUACGGUUUUUAUAAGACCGUAAUAUAAGUGUUUGUUCGGAUUGGGAGCGCAAAGAUGGAAGAGAAGAGUCUGAUUCUCGAGGGUCUGCCGGAAGAUUUCCACAGAGUCAAAGCAAAGAUCGAGCUUUACUUCAAAAACAAAAGAAGGUCUGGAGGAGAAAUCGUGCAGAUUCGAGAGCAUCCAGACGACAAACGAAAAGCGCUUCUGGUUUAUAUAAGCGAGGAAGAUCUGAAGAAGGUGCUUGACAAAAGGAUCCAUAAAGUUGAUCUCAAACCUCAUGGAUCUGUUGAAGUGACGGUGAAACUCCCAGAAGACACAAAAAUCAAGAUGAAACCACAAGUACUGCCCAAACCCAAACCAGAGACGUGCCUUGCCCUCGGAUCACCGCCAGCUGCUGCCAGACAGGUCUCUCCCGUCAGAAAGCCUACUACAGCAAUUAAAGAAGAUGAGGAGGAUUCUGAAA
ensembl:lncRNA